rnacentral:rRNA from 1 species
UACGGAGGGUGCAAGCGUUAUCCGGAUUCACUGGGUUUAAAGGGUGCGUAGGUGGGCAAGUAAGUCAGUGGUGAAAUCUCCGGGCUUAACCCGGAAACUGCCAUUGAUACUAUUUGUCUUGAAUACUGUGGAGGUCAGCGGAAUAUGUCAUGUAGCGGUGAAAUGCGUAGAUAUCAGGAGGAACACCGGUGGUGUAGACGGCUUACUGGACCACGACUGACACUGAGGCACGAAAGCGUGGGUAGCAAACAGG